UUGUUUCGUUCAUCAUGCUCACGUCCGGGACUGAUCGUUUGAAGGGGCUGACCCCAGAGGUUCACACAGGUGGUUCGGGUUUAACGCCUCCCGGCUCACUAAUGAUCCUUCCGCAGGUUCACCUACGGAAA
rnacentral:misc_RNA from 1 species